AGCGUGUCUGGCGAGUUUACACGGCGCUCGACAUCUUGGGCAUGUCGAGCUGGUUCAGGCGGGAAGCGGUACGCUGAUGAUUCUGCGCCAUACUGC
rnacentral:tRNA from 1 species